UACGAAGGGUGCAAGCGUUACUCGGAAUUACUGGGCGUAAAGCGUGCGUAGGUGGUUUCUUAAGUCUGCUGUGAAAGCCCCGGGCUCAACCUGGGAAUUGCAGUGGAUACUGGGGAGCUAGAGUGCGGUAGAGGGUAGUGGAAUUCCCGGUGUAGCGGUGAAAUGCGUAGAGAUCGGGAGGAACACCAGUGGCGAAGGCGGGUCUCUGGGCCGAUACUGACGCUGAGGAGCGAAAGCGUGGGGAGCGAACAGG
rnacentral:rRNA from 1 species